rnacentral:tRNA from 1 species
GCCUGGGUGGCUUAGUUGUUAAGCGUCUGCCUUCGGCUCAGGGGUGGUCCCAGCGUUGUGGGAUCGAGCCCCACAUCAGGCU